ACAAAGCUAAUGGAAAAAAACAAGUUGGAGGUUUUCCCUAAAAGAAGGGAAGUCAUGAUACAUUGUUCAUCAUCGAGUAAAUCAAGCACCUGAGAUGUCACAUAGGUCUGCUGACCUCAGAAGCAGGAGAAGUUGGCCACCACCCCCAAGGAUGGCAAAGAGGUGGAGGAAAAUGAAGCUAAAAAUUUUUCAGCAGAAAGCUAAAAAUGCUGUCAGGCUCAUCCAUGGGUGUACAUCCAUCUGGAAUGUUACUUCAAAUCAUUAAGCAUUAAAUACCUGUGAGGAUCACAUGAAACUUUUGGGUUCAUCUGAGUGGCAGUUCUGCCAGUGAAAGACGUGGAAGAGAAAGCUAGGCUUCUGUUUUUGGCAGUGCUGCAAGUUUGACAAGAUAGGAGACACUCCAAGUCUCCAUGCUGUACCAGGGCCCUCAGAUGGGCAAAACAGCUUGGAACACAUUAGAGUAUCCUAAAACCAUGGUUUGCUCUGAAAGUUAAAACAGGAUGAAGCAAAAUGUCUACCACUGCCUGUUCCUGAACCUCUUGGGUAAGCAAUUCCAGAUGCAGUUUCUGCCUUGUGGAGGAAUAUGCACAGAUAUUGCUUAGAAACUUCAAGUAAGUCCUUCAAGUAAGUCUUGGGUCUUUGAAGAACACUGUCUGAAAGGCCGAAAAGGUUAUCAAUAACAAUUGUCCUUUUGCUUGUAGACCAACAGUCUGACAUUAUAUCCUGUACUACCUGAAAGCUAUUGCUGUCCAAUGGCCCAACAGCAGUGCACAUGGCAAGGACUGUGGGCUUUGUGUCAAACCUUUGCUGGGACACCCCUGGAGGUACAGAUAAGAAGCUCUCCAGCACAGUGAGACUUUGAAGAACGUGCUUAGAUAUUGUUGACAUUGCCUUGCUCAGGGAGAAACCCUCCAUCAUCCUCUUGGC
rnacentral:lncRNA from 1 species